GUUUUUAUCUAUAUGUACUAGAAAGAUAAAAACAAAGUUAUGAUAUCAUUAUUACGCUUAACUUGAACUGUUGUACAUAUAUACGUUUAAAUAAAGUUCAUUCAUUAAAGUAACGGAUUUAAAUACAUACGAGUCACCAUGGAGACUGAACUACGUGACCAUUCUACAGUAUCUUAUGACGUCAGUCCGACGCCUGUAAACACGCGCAUGCAAACAGUUCUUGGAAUACGAGGAUUUGAAGACCCCGACGCACCAUUGACAACAAAGGACAAAUUUAACAUUGGUCUUCUGUUAGUUUUUUUGUACGGGGCUUUCAUAGUAGGAGCUGUUCUUACCGCUGUUUAUAACAGCUAACUAAUGGCUGUAAAUGCAUUGUACCUUAGUAUAAUUAUUGUUUAAGAAAUCAACAGUUUUGAUUUACUAUGCAAUUUGAAUGUUGUGGAAACUGAUUAUCAUUAAAAAUUACUUGAUUGUCCGUAUUACUUUGAUCUAAAAAAAGAAUAUGUACCGAGAUAUAAUUGUUCCUGGAAAAAUAUACAAAAGUUUAAGAUGUUAGUAAAUCACUCGCAAAAGAAUGAUAAUACUUAUACAAAUUUGUCUAAAUAUAUUUACUAUACAAAACAAUAGAAGAGACAAACUGGUAGCUGAUUUCAAUUAAUUUCAGAG